rnacentral:rRNA from 1 species
GAUGAACGCUGGCGGCGUGCUUAACACAUGCAAGUCGAACGAACCUUCGGGUUAGUGGCGGACGGGUGAGUAACGCGUGAGAAUCUGCCCUCAGGAGGGGGAUAACGGCUGGAAACGGCCGCUAAUACCCCAUAUGCCGAGAGGUGAAACGAAUUUCGCCUGAGGAUGAGCUCGCGUCUGAUUAGCUAGUUGGUGGGGUAAGAGCCUACCAAGGCAUCGAUCAGUAGCUGGUCUGAGAGGAUGAUCAGCCACACUGGGACUGAGACACGGCCCAGACUCCUACGGGAGGCAGCAGUGGGGAAUUUUCCGCAAUGGGCGCAAGCCUGACGGAGCAACGCCGCGUGAGGGAUGAAGGCCUCUGGGCUGUAAACCUCUUUUAUCAAGGAAGAAGAUCUGACGGUACUUGAUGAAUAAGCCACGGCUAAUUCCGUGCCAGCAGCCGCGGUAAUACGGGAGUGGCAAGCGUUAUCCGGAAUUAUUGGGCGUAAAGCGUCCGCAGGCGGUCUUGUAAGUCUGUCGUUAAAGCGUGGAGCUUAACUCCAUUUGAGCGAUGGAAACUGUAAGACUAGAGUGUGGUAGGGGCAGAGGGAAUUCCCGGUGUAGCGGUGAAAUGCGUAGAUAUCGGGAAGAACACCAGUGGCGAAGGCGCUCUGCUGGGCCAUAACUGACGCUCAUGGACGAAAGCCAGGGGAGCGAAAGGGAUUAGAUACCCCUGUAGUCCUGGCCGUAAACGAUGAACACUAGGUGUCGGGGGAAUCGACCCCCUCGGUGUCGUAGCCAACGCGUUAAGUGUUCCGCCUGGGGAGUACGCACGCAAGUGUGAAACUCAAAGGAAUUGACGGGGGCCCGCACAAGCGGUGGAGUAUGUGGUUUAAUUCGAUGCAACGCGAAGAUCCUUACCAGGGUUUGACAUCCUGCGAAUCUCUNGGAAACGAGAGAGUGCCUUCGGGAACGCAGUGACAGGUGGUGCAUGGCUGUCGUCAGCUCGUGUCGUGAGAUGUUGGGUUAAGACCCGCAACGAGCGCAACCCACGUCGUUAGUUGCCAGCAUUAAGUUGGGCACUCUAGCGAGACCGCCGGUGAUAAACCGGAGGAAGGUGUGGAUGACGUCAAGUCAUCAUGCCCCUUACAUCCUGGGCUACACACGUACUACAAUGCUACGGACAAAGGGCAGCAAACUCGCGAGAGCUAGCAAAUCCCAUAAACCGUGGCUCAGUUCAGAUCGUAGGCUGCAACUCGCCUACGUGAAGGAGGAAUCGCUAGUAAUCGCAGGUCAGCAUACUGCGGUGAAUACGUUCCCGGGCCUUGUACACACCGCCCGUCACACCAUGGAAGUUGGCCACGCCCGAAGCCGUUACUCCAACCCUUGUGGAGGAGGAUGUCGAAGGUGGGGCUGAUGACUGGGGUGAAGUCGUAACAAGGUAGCCGUACCGGAAGGUGCGGCUGGAUCACCUCCU